rnacentral:lncRNA from 1 species
AUCAUAUGUGAUACAUGCUCUUUGACAGUAUAUAACCACUCUGUACACCCCACUUCUUUGGUGCCUUUCCUUAUAUGGGGAAGGAAGGCCCUGGGCUAAGCUAGUCCUCUGAUCGGGCUCAGAAUAAACUCACCCCAAUGUUCACUGAUAGAUUGGUCAUGGAUUAUUUGUGUCCACACAAUGCACACCCAGGACUGGAAGCUGCUGUGUGGAGUUUGGGGCUCCGGAAUCUUCCCUCCUAUGUGUUCAAGGCAGGACACGCGCUGGUUUUCUGAAGUGUUGGCAUUUCCUCGGAGACAACUAUUGUCGCAGAUACUCGACCACUCUCCCUGCCAGCGCCUUGCUCCACUGUGGGACAGCCGGAGUGUUUCUUCUAGAAUGUAUGCCACAGUCCAUCAUCCCUCUGACCAUCGCCCUCCAGGGGCUUCAGUCCUCGCCAAGACUUCUAAGACCCUCUCGCUCGCUGGCUGCCUCCGCUGGUGGGAGCCGCCCCGCUUUGAUGCCUUCGCUGCUGGAAGCUCAGCGGCCUGUGUGACAUCACUCUGGGCACCUCCUCCUCCUGUCGCCUGGCCUGAGUCUCCCUGUGCUCCCCAAACCUCCGGCGCCUUCCCAUGA